rnacentral:rRNA from 1 species
AUGCAACUACCUUGGCUUGCCAUUAACAAUCAGAAAGCAGUCGGCCGCACAACUACAAGGCCUUGUGGAUCACCCAGCGAAGUGCCUACCAUCUUGACACGCAUCAUCUCUGCCCAGAAGUGGAGGGUUGUUACUAGUAGUAAAAUACGUGUUAUGCCCGAUGGCACUCCAUGUGAUGAUGGCGUUGGAUCUGCCCUUGAAAAUGAUCAUUGCUCUAAACAAGAUAGUCAGGGGUUUCCUCCGGCGCGGACAUGCGGAGGCCAAGGGAGGCAACUAUGGUGUAGCAUGGUCAGAAGUGUGUAA